rnacentral:rRNA from 1 species
AGAGUUUGAUCCUGGCUCAGGACGAACGCUGGCGGCGUGCUUACACAUGCAAGUCGAACGAAGAGCGAUGGAAGCUUGCUUCUAUCAAUCUUAGUGGCGAACGGGUGAGUAACGCGUAAUCAACCUGCCCUUCAGAGGGGGACAACAGUUGGAAACGACUGCUAAUACCGCAUACGAUCCAACCUCGGCAUCGAGGAUGGAUGAAAGGUGGCCUCUAUUUAUAAGCUAUCACUGAAGGAGGGGAUUGCGUCUGAUUAGCUAGUUGGAGGGGUAACGGCCCACCAAGGCAAUGAUCAGUAGCCGGUCUGAGAGAAUGAACGGCCACAUGGGGACUGAGACACGGCCCAGACUCCUAC